rnacentral:sRNA from 1 species
UGAUACACUUGUGCCGAUGCUUGAU